GCCUCCUUGUUUAAUUACCUUAACAGGAGCUAAAUUUGGAGAUAGGUGGGGUUCUCUCUUGUCUCGCUCCAGCCUCAGCCUUAGACAAGCCCUGCGCAAAGGGUGGAACUUUCUCGGCCGUCCUGCCGCUUCUCCCUGUGGCAGCUGAACUCUGCCUGUAUCUGUUGUUGGUCUUGCCUGAGAAUUUCUUGCCCAAGAGAUUUUACACCUACUUUUUCCAGAAUAAAUGGAUCUUUGUGCACUAGGGGCAAGAGGGUGUUUUAUCUCUCCGCAGGUAGCUCAAGGCUUAACUUGGCAGGAGAGAAGUUUCCGUGAAAGUCGGCAGGUUUUUUCCUGUUCUCCACAGCCGCUGAGGAUCUGCUCCAUACCUGUUUCAUCGAGGGGCAUUCUCUCUGAUUUCCUGCCCUGCCCCCAUCCUUUCCCAUGAGCGCCUGGAGAGGCAAACAAGAGCUCGAGAGAGAAGGAUAAAGUUUAGUAAGCAGCUUCAUUUUGAAUAACAGCGAAACUGAGACCUGCUAGAACAAGGUUCUUCACUUUUCGUUUUUUUCAUGUCUCAGCUUUAAACAAAAUUCUGCAUUGAGGCCUGGAGCACUUAUGCUUCUACGCUGAUAUUACCCGGCAGUCCCUAACGUGGAAUACCCUGAAUGAGCAACUCUGUUCCCCCACCGCACCCCCAUGUUCUGACACUCUUGUGCUCAUCAUCAAGCCCAAAACCUACUGAAGCUAAGGAUGUGUCUCUCCACUUCGCGGUCCCUGUGUAGGUCAAGUCCCUAAGACUGAGCACCACUUUGGAUCCCCCUCCCAAGUGCUAAUUAAUAAUUUUGUCUAAAAUAGUAGUUUUUUUCAAGGGUGUAAGACUUGCCCCUGGGCCCUGGUACAGGGAUUAAAGACCUCCAAGCCAAGAAACAAUCUCCAGGACAAUGACCAUCAGCCUGAUAGGAAUUCCCAAUAACAAAACAGCCUGCUAGAGACCCCCACCAAGCUCUUGUCCCCCUACCUUUUCCCAUUAGGGUCAUCUGUGUCAUGCUGAGUAUCACGUGGGGAUCCCUAUUCCCCAAGAGCUGAGAUUGACGAUGCGUGUGUAAGUAACACAGAGAUGGCUUGUGGACUAUCUUCAGUAAUUAAAAACAGCCCCUGUUGCGUUAUUCCUAGACCACUCCCAUGUGUCAAACCAACUCAAUGUUCACGCCCAGGAACUAAAAAUAAAGGGCCAGGAGAAAUAUGAAAAAAGAAGCAAAUGGCAUGAAAUACCUCAAGUUGUUAUCUUCUGAUUCACUCACCUCCCCAAUUACCCUGUUUAUUCAUUUGGAAUAAAUGUGAUACAGCAGUUUCAGAGCUAACAGCUCCUAUUAAACAAUGACUCAGCUUUGUGAUUCCCCAACUUUCCUACUCUGGGGAGAGCCAGAAGAAAAGGGUUCUCUCUCAAAGAGAAUGGACCUCCGUCAACUACAGUUUCUUGUGCUACAAAUGGUAGCUGUUAACAAUAAUGCCUUUCAUAGAACCCUUGCGAGGAUCAAACUAGACAGCAAUAUGUAUAUAAGUUCCUUGCAAACUAUAAUGGUGCUAUGUUUCAUUGUGUUAUAAAUGUCUUGAGGUUUUUCAGGGAAGGGGGAUGACCGUGGUGUAGUGUUAUUCAACAAAUUCCUUAACGUUCUGAGUUUAGCAGUAAAGAGAACUGGAGAGUUAAUUUUAAUUUGUAUAUAAUGACAAAUGAAAUAGGUAAUAUUUGUAGAUACAGAUGACUUUACCAAUAAUGACAAUGUAGUGCAUAAAGGCACAUUGGGGCUUUAGGGUUACUUUGGCAAUUGCUGAUGCUAUUAUAUAUAUGUAAACUCAAAAGAGAGGCUCCCAUUAAAGAAAAAGAAUUCCCAGCCAAGAGGCUGGCCUGUUGGCGUAGUGGCUAAGUUUGUGCACUUCACUUCAGCGGCCCAGGGUUUUCCAGUUUGGAUCCUGGGUGUGGACCUAUGCGCCACUUAUCAAGCCAUGCUGUGGUGGCAUCCCACCUGGAAGAACUCACAACUAGGAAAUACAACUGUGUACUGGGGCUUUGGGGAGAAAAGAAAAGAGGAAGAUUGAUUACAGAUGUUGGCUCGGGGUGAUCUUCCUCACCAAGAAUGUCUGCAAACAAACAAAAAAACCUUUGGAUCAAAAUGAGUAUUUAAAAAAAAAUUCCCAGCCAAGAGUCACUUAAUCAAACCUUAUUUUUAAGAAUGGCAUUUGCUCAUUUUGUCGUCUUCAUUAUUCCCAUUCGUGUAACGUUGGAAGAAAAAAAUGAUGUCAGUUGGUAUUUCCAACCAUUUAGGCAUAAUCAGCAGCAGAUGUAAGAUUUGUAAGGAUGUAACAAUUCCUUCAAUAAUCCCCUGAAACUGCUUGUUCACUUCCAUUGCCUACAAAUAAAAGAGAAUUGCUCAUUAAUAAAACUGAAUAUCUCAAUAACACAGUGGGAUUGUAUUAUUUUAAUGUGCCAUUGUGAAUUGAUCAUGCAUUGCUUUUUAUUUUACUUUUGCUUUGGAAAGUGACAAUUCUGGUACCUUAAAUAGUCC
rnacentral:lncRNA from 1 species